rnacentral:lncRNA from 1 species
UGGGACGGUGAGUAGGUGGGACGGUGAGUAGGUGGCUGUUGAGUAGGUGGGACGGUGAGUAGGUGGGACGGUGAGUAGGUGUCUGUUGAGUAGGUGGGACGGUGAGUAGGUGGGACGGUGAGUAGGUGUCUGUUGAGUAGGUGGGACGGUGAGUAGGUGGCUGUUGAGUAGGUGGGACGGUGAGUAGGUGGGACGGUGAGUAGGUGGGACGGUGAGUAGGUGGGACGGUGAGUAGGUGGGACGGUGAGUAGGUGGCUGUUGAGUAGGUGGGACGGUGAGUAGGUGGGACGGUGAGUAGGUGUCUGUUGAGUAGGUGGGACGGUGAGUAGGUGGGACGGUGAGUAGGUGUCUGUUGUGUAGGUGGGACGGUGAGUAGGUGGGACGGUGAGUAGGUGUCUGUUGAGUAGAUGGGACGGUGAGUAGGUGGGACGGUGAGUAGGUGUCUGUUGAGUAGGUGGGACGGUGAGUAGGUGGGACGGUGAGUAGGUGGGACGGUGAGUAGGUGUCUGUUGAGUAGGUGGGACGGUGAGUAGGUGGCUGUUGAGUAGGUGGCUGUUGAGUAGGUGUGACGGUGAGUAGGUGGGACGGUGAGUAGGUGGGACGGUGAGUAGGUGGGACGGUGAGUAGGUGGGACGGUGAGUAGGUGUCUGUUGAGUUGGUGGGACGGUGAGUAGGUGUCUGUUGAGUAGGUGGGACGGUGAGUAGGUGGCUGUUGAGUAGGUGGGACGGUGAGUAGGUGGGACGGUGAGUAGGUGUCUGUUUAGUAGGUGGGACGGUGAGUAGGUGGGACGGUGAGUAGGUGGCUGGUGAGUAGGUGGGACGGUGAGUAGGUGGGACGGUGAGUAGGUGUCUGUUGAGUAGGUGGGACGGUGAGUAGGUGGCUGUUGAGUAGGUGGGACGGUGAGUAGGUGGGACGGUGAGUAGGUGGGACGGUGAGUAGGUGGCUGUUGAGUAGGUGGGACUUCUGAUAAUAUGUUUGCUCUAACUGCUUUUUUAAAAACAGAAAUGAAAUCUGACAACUGGAGGUUGGCAUCUUUUAAUAAGGCAUACUCCAAUUACGGUUUUCAAUGAUUACCAAGAUUCUUAGUGACCUUUUUAUGAAUUACAAUGAUUUUACUUUUAGAGGUUAACCUCUCUAGGGUAGGUGGCACCAAACCAUCCCACCUACGUAACAGCCAGUGUAAUCCCGUGGCGCAUUAUUCAAAAACCUCAAAAAUGCAAAAACUUCCAUUUUUCAAACAUAUGACUAUUUUACACCAUUUUAAAGACAAGACUCUCGUUAAUCU